rnacentral:rRNA from 1 species
UGGGGAAUUUUUCACAAUGGGCGCAAGCCUGAUGCAGCCAUGCCGCGUGUGUGAAGAAGGCCUUCGGGUUGUAAAGCACUUUCAGCGGGGAGGAAGGCGUUAAGGUUAAUAACCUUGGCGAUUGACGUUACCCGCAGAAGAAGCACCGGCUAACCCCGUGCCAGCAGCCGCGGUAAUACGGAGGGUGCAAGCGUUAAUCGGAAUCACUGGGCGUAAAGCGCACGCAGGGGGUUUGUCAAGUCGGAUGUGAAAUCCCCGGGCUCAACCUGGGAACUGCCUUCGAAACGGGCAGGCUAGAGUCUUGGAGAGGGGGGGAGAAUUCCAGGUGUGGCGGUGAAAUGCGUAGAGAUCUGGAGGAAUACCGGUGGCGAAGGGGGCCCCCUGGACAAAGACUGACGCGCAGGUGCGAAAGCGUGGGGGGCAAACAGA